rnacentral:rRNA from 1 species
AGAGUUUGAUCCUGGCUCAGAUUGAACGCUAGCGGCAUGCUUUACACAUGCAAGUCGAACGGUAGAGGGGGCAACCCCUUGAGAGUGGCGAACGGGUGAGUAAUAUAUCGGAACGUGCCCAGUCGUGGGGGAUAACGUAGCGAAAGUUACGCUAAUACCGCAUACGAUCUAUGGAUGAAAGCGGGGGACCGUAAGGCCUCGCGCGAUUGGAGCGGCCGAUAUCAGAUUAGGUAGUUGGUGGGGUAAAGGCUCACCAAGCCAACGAUCUGUAGCUGGUCUGAGAGGACGACCAGCCACACUGGAACUGAGACACGGUCCAGACUCCUACGGGAGGCAGCAGUGGGGAAUUUUGGACAAUGGACGCAAGUCUGAUCCAGCCAUUCCGCGUGCAGGAUGAAGGCCCUCGGGUUGUAAACUGCUUUUGUACGGAACGAAAAGGUCUCUAUUAAUACUAGGGGCUCAUGACGGUACCGUAAGAAUAAGCACCGGCUAACUACGUGCCAGCAGCCGCGGUAAUACGUAGGGUGCAAGCGUUAAUCGGAAUUACUGGGCGUAAAGCGUGCGCAGGCGGUUAUGUAAGACAGAGGUGAAAUCCCCGGGCUCAACCUGGGAACUGCCUUUGUGACUGCAUAGCUAGAGUACGGUAGAGGGGGAUGGAAUUCCGCGUGUAGCAGUGAAAUGCGUAGAUAUGCGGAGGAACACCGAUGGCGAAGGCAAUCCCCUGGACCUGUACUGACGCUCAUGCACGAAAGCGUGGGGAGCAAACAGGAUUAGAUACCCUGGUAGUCCACGCCCUAAACGAUGUCAACUGGUUGUUGGGUCUUCACUGACUCAGUAACGAAGCUAACGCGUG